rnacentral:piRNA from 1 species
UCCCACAUCUUUCUGUCACAGAUUUCUUCCU